UUUUUUUCAGCGUAACAGUGGCGCCUCUGAUGAUUAUUCUUUCUCCCCUUUCUCUCUUCUUCUGGGAUUCCCACACUGGUACGUUUCUCUUGAUAGUGUCCCACAGAUCCCUUAGACUCUAUUCACCAUUCACAUUUCUUUUUUUCUUUUCUUUCUGUUCCUCAGAUGUAGUAGGAAGCACAAGGAAUCCGUCUCUCUACCUAGACAACAGUUGUACUGGCAGAAACUGAAGUAACUAUUUUGGAACUCUGGAGUCUAUUUGAAUUCUUGCAUCUUCCAGGAGAAAGUUUGGUUGGUAAAUUGAGCAUUCAUGGAUUUUCCCAUUCUGGCUCUAACUUACCACAUUAAUCUACUGAGCCUUGAAACAGAACUUCUAGUUUCCAGGAAAUACCAAGUCUAGAGGAACAAAUU